GAGUUUGAUCUUGGCUCAGAUUGAACGCUGGCGGCAGGCCUAACACAUGCAAGUCGAGCGGUAGAGAGAAGCUUGCUUCUCUUGAGAGCGGCGGACGGGUGAGUAAUGCCUAGGAAUCUGCCUGGUAGUGGGGGAUAACGCUCGGAAACGGACGCUAAUACCGCAUACGUCCUACGGGAGAAAGCAGGGGACCUUCGGGCCUUGCGCUAUCAGAUGAGCCUAGGUCGGAUUAGCUAGUUGGUGAGGUAAUGGCUCACCAAGGCGACGAUCCGUAACUGGUCUGAGAGGAUGAUCAGUCACACUGGAACUGAGACACGGUCCAGACUCCUACGGGAGGCAGCAGUGGGGAAUAUUGCAAUGGGCGAAAGCCUGAUCCAGCCAUGCCGCGUGUGUGAAGAAGGUC
rnacentral:rRNA from 1 species